rnacentral:rRNA from 1 species
UACGUAGGGCGCAAGCGUUGUCCGGAAUUAUUGGGCGUAAAGAGCUCGUAGGCGGCCUGUUACGUCUGCUGUGAAAUCCCGGGGCUUAACCCCGGGCGUGCAGUGGAUACGGGCAGGCUGGAGGCAGGCAGGGGAGAACGGAAUUCCCGGUGUAGCGGUGAAAUGCGCAGAUAUCGGGAGGAACACCGGCGGCGAAGGCGGGUCUCUGGGCCGUUACUGACGCUGAGGAGCGAAAGCGUGGGGAGCGAACAGG